rnacentral:pre_miRNA from 1 species
AUUCUACUCCCUCUGUUCCACAAUACAUGCCUUCUAUUUGUCAAAAUAUAGAUGUAUCUAGACAUGUUUUAGUAUAUAGGUACAUCCAUUUUUGGACAAAUGGAAGUCAAGUAUUUUGGAACGGAGGGAGUACAUA